rnacentral:rRNA from 1 species
AAUCUUCCACAAUGGCCUAAAGUCUGAUGGAGUACCGCCGCGUGAGCGAAGUAGGUUUUAGGAUCGUAAAGUUCUGUUGCCAGGGAAGAACAAGUACGGGCGUAACUGCGCGUACCUUCACGGUACAGCGUCUGAAAGCCCCGUCUAACUACGUGCCGGCAGCCGCGGUAAUACGUAGGUAGCAAGCGUUGUCCGGAAUUAUUGGGCGUAAAGCGCGCGCAAGCGGUCCUUUAAGUCUGAUGUGAACGCCCACGGCUCAACCGAGGAGGGUCAUUGGAAACUGGAGGACUUGAGUACAGAAGAGGAAAGCGGAAUUCCACGUGUAGCGGUGAAAGGCGUAGAGAUGUGGAGGAACACCAGUGGCGAAGGCGGCUCUCUGGUCUGUAACUGACGCUGAGGCGCGAAAGCGUGGGGAGCAAACA